rnacentral:rRNA from 1 species
CUAAGAAUAUUCCGCAAUGGACGGAAGUCUGACGGAGCGACGCCGCGUGGAUGACGAAGGCCGAAAGGUUGUAAAGUUCUUUUGCUGGGGAAGAAUAACCGCAGGAGGGAAUGCCUGUGGGAUGACAAGAACCGGCGAAUAAGCCCCGGCCAACUACGUGCCAGCAGCCGCGGUAACACGUAGGGGGGCGAGCGUUGUUCGGAAUUACUGGGCGUAAAGGGCAUGUAGGCGGCUUGGAAAGCCUGGCGUGAAAGUCUGCAGCUUAACUGCAGGGGUGCGCUGGGAACUGCUGAGCUUGGGUGACGGAGAGGGAGCUGGAAUUCCUGGUGUAGGGGUGAAAUCUGUAGAUAUCAGGAAGAACACCGAUGGCGAAGGCAAGCUCCUGGCCGAUGACUGACGCUGAGGUGCGAAAGUGUGGGGAUCAAACAGGAUUAGAUACCCUGGUAGUCCACACAGUCAACGAUGUGCACUAGGUGCUGGGGCGGUAGCUUCGGUGCCGGAGCG